rnacentral:rRNA from 1 species
UAGGGAAUCUUCGGCAAUGGACGAAAGUCUGACCGAGCAACGCCGCGUGAGUGAAGAAGGUUUUCGGAUCGUAAAACUCUGUUGUUAGAGAAGAACAAGGACGUUAGUAACUGAACGUCCCCUGACGGUAUCUAACCAGAAAGCCACGGCUAACUACGUGCCAGCAGCCGCGGUAAUACGUAGGUGGCAAGCGUUGUCCGGAUUUAUUGGGCGUAAAGCGAGCGCAGGCGGUUUCUUAAGUCUGAUGUGAAAGCCCCCGGCUCAACCGGGGAGGGUCAUUGGAAACUGGGAGACUUGAGUGCAGAAGAGGAGAGUGGAAUUCCAUGUGUAGCGGUGAAAUGCGUAGAUAUAUGGAGGAACACCAGUGGCGAAGGCGGCUUUCUGGUCUGUAACUGACGCUGAGGCUCGAAAGCGUGGGGAGCAAACAGG